CCUAAUCCAAGUGAAAUCUCGCCCAAGCGUCGUAGGGAGCUCGCCCGUAUGAGAAUUGGCAGUCAUGUAGGGCCUGGGCGUCAAAUUUGGACGCCCAAGCUAUGAGCGUCCACCGCCCGGGCGUCAGGAGCCACCGCCCAAGUGACGAGCGUCGACUUUGGACGCUUGCUUCGCGGUCCUGGUCACUCGGGCUUUGCGUGUUCCCUCCUUCUGGUGCCUUUUUAGCCUCAUCUUAGCUCCAUAUUCUUAGCUUUUCACUUCUUCUUC
rnacentral:lncRNA from 1 species